CACACACACACACACACACACACACAUGUUAACAUAUACACACAAAAGAAAAUUAAGGUUUUGGGUUCACGUAUAUCUGCUGUGUAAGAUUCAACUUUUGAAGACAUAUUUGCAACGUGUAAGGUUUCGGGUUAAAGUAUAUUUGCAAUGUUUACUUGCUGAUGAAAAUUGUUUGACUUUUGUAGACAUUUCCGAGGUUCCACCCAGAAAAUCUUGAAACUAACAAACUAGUAUUCGAAAGGGUUAGUGAAAUGGCUACGAGGAAAGGUUGCACCCCGUCCCAACUAGCAUUGGCUUGGGUUCAUCACCAAGGAGAUGAUGUUUGUCCAAUACCUGGUACCACUAAGAUUGAGAACUUGAACCAGAAUAUUCAAGCUUUAUCUGUGAAAUUGACACCCGAAGAGAUGGCUGAACUUGAAUCCUAUGCUUCAGCUGACGUGGUUAAGGGCGACAGACACGUUUUCAUGGAAUCCACAUGGCUAAACUCAGAGACACCCCCGCUAUCCUCUUGGAAGCCCGAGUAGGCAUUGCCUUUGCUGUUUCACCCCGAGUACUGAACUGAUUCUCCCAGUCAGUUAAAUAAAUAAAACCUGUAUGUUUACUAGCAGAUAUGAGUGGAAGUAUUCAGUUCAGGUAUUAAUAUAUGCUGUUAUGAUUUCAAUUAUUGUGUUUCUGCUAUUUUAGCAUUAAAGAUUUCUCUAUGUAUUUGCAGCCAGUAACUCAAUGUUCAUCGUUCAUAAAAGGCUGUCUAUUUGUUAUUUGCUCUAAUAAGUUGAUAUUUGCUAAAUAUCGUGUGAAUCGGCUUCACCAAGUAACCAUGUCAAAGAUAAAGAAGAUGAGCACAAGAUCAUCACUAACAGCAGAGUUA
rnacentral:lncRNA from 1 species